GCGGCUGCGGGCGGAGUUUCUCAAGGACCGACGCGGGGCAGUCAGACGGCGGCGGUCCUGGGAGGUGCCAACGCAAGUCCGAAUCGUUCCCCGCCCGCCGCAAUCGUUCCCCGCCACCGCCUGCCGGUUGCCGCGCCCCGGCCUCCCGCGCUCCCGCCCUCUGCCCGCCGCGACCCUCGAUGCGGGGCUGCCCCGCUGCGUGAUGGGUCUGCCCAGAGGCUCCCUGCGGCUCGCGGCGGCCGCUGCUUGCUCUGAGGAACGUCGGUGCCGGGCUCCCUGCGCCCCCGCGCGCCUUGGCGCCUGCUGACCCGGCGCCCGCCCGUCCGCCGGUCAGUCCGCAGCGCGGCUGAGGAAACUUGAACUUAACUUCAAAAGAAGAUUUGAUUCUUUAUUUCUGGACUGCAUAUAUAUAACAAGACCAUCAGAAUGUCGGGAGCCUCAGUGAAGGUGGCUGUCCGUGUGCGGCCCUUCAAUUCUCGAGAGACCAGCAAAGAGUCCAAAUGCAUCAUUCAGAUGCAAGGCAACUCAACUAGUAUUAUUAACCCAAAGAACCCAAAGGAAGCUCCAAAGUCCUUCAGCUUUGACUACUCCUACUGGUCUCACACCUCGCCGGAAGAUCCCUGUUUUGCAUCUCAAAACCGUGUGUACAAUGAUAUUGGAAAGGAAAUGCUCUUACAUGCCUUUGAGGGAUAUAAUGUCUGUAUUUUUGCCUAUGGGCAGACUGGUGCUGGGAAGUCUUACACAAUGAUGGGUAAACAAGAAGAAAGCCAGGCUGGCAUCAUUCCACAGUUAUGUGAAGAACUGUUUGAGAAAAUCAACGACAACUGUAAUGAAGAAAUGUCUUACUCUGUAGAGGUGAGCUACAUGGAAAUUUACUGUGAAAGAGUACGAGACUUACUGAAUCCAAAAAACAAGGGUCAUUUGCGUGUGCGUGAACAUCCACUUCUUGGCCCAUAUGUGGAGGAUCUGUCAAAGUUGGCAGUCACUUCCUACACAGACAUUGCUGACCUCAUGGAUGCUGGGAACAAGGCCAGGACAGUGGCAGCCACCAACAUGAAUGAAACAAGUAGCCGUUCCCACGCUGUGUUUACCAUUGUUUUCACCCAGAAGAAACAUGAUUCUGAGACCAACCUUUCCACUGAGAAGGUCAGUAAAAUCAGCUUGGUGGAUCUAGCAGGAAGUGAACGAGCUGAUUCGACUGGUGCCAAAGGAACUCGAUUAAAGGAAGGAGCAAAUAUUAAUAAGUCUCUUACAACUCUGGGUAAAGUUAUUUCAGCCUUGGCGGAGGUGGAUAACUGCACCAGCAAGAGUAAGAAGAAGAAGAAAACUGAUUUUAUUCCUUACAGAGAUUCUGUACUGACAUGGCUUCUUCGAGAAAAUCUAGGUGGCAAUUCUCGGACUGCAAUGGUUGCUGCUCUGAGCCCAGCAGAUAUCAACUAUGAUGAAACCUUGAGCACUUUGAGAUAUGCAGAUCGUGCAAAACAGAUUAAAUGCAAUGCUGUUAUCAAUGAGGACCCCAAUGCCAAACUGGUUCGUGAAUUAAAGGAGGAGGUGACACGACUGAAGGACCUUCUUCGUGCUCAGGGGCUGGGAGACAUUAUUGAUAUUGAUCCAUUGAUCGAUGAUUACUCUGGAAGUGGAGGCAAAUAUCUGAAAGAUUUUCAGAACAGUAAACAUAGGUACUUGCUAGCCUCUGAGAAUCAACGUCCUGGCAAUUUUUCCACAGCAUCCAUGGGGUCCCUUACUUCAUCUCCGUCUUCCUGCUCACUCAAUAGUCAGGUGGGCUUAACAUCUGUGACCAGUAUUCAGGAGAGAAUCAUGUCUACACCCGGAGGAGAGGAAGCCAUUGAACGUCUAAAGGAAUCAGAGAAGAUCAUUGCUGAGUUGAAUGAAACCUGGGAAGAGAAGCUUCGUAAAACAGAGGCCAUCAGAAUGGAGAGAGAGGCCUUGUUGGCUGAGAUGGGAGUUGCCAUUCGGGAAGAUGGAGGAACCCUGGGGGUUUUCUCACCUAAAAAGACCCCACAUCUUGUUAACCUCAAUGAGGACCCACUGAUGUCUGAAUGCCUGCUUUAUUACAUCAAAGAUGGAAUUACAAGGGUUGGCCAAGCAGAUGCUGAGCGGCGCCAGGACAUCGUGCUGAGUGGGGCUCACAUUAAAGAAGAGCACUGUAUCUUCCGGAGCGAGAGAAACAACAGUGGGGAUGUUAUUGUGACCCUGGAGCCCUGUGAACGUUCAGAAACCUACGUAAAUGGCAAGAGGGUGGCCCAGCCUGUUCAGCUGCGCUCAGGAAACCGCAUCAUCAUGGGUAAAAACCAUGUGUUUCGUUUUAACCACCCGGAGCAAGCACGGGCUGAGCGGGAGAAGACUCCUUCUGCUGAGACCCCCUCUGAGCCUGUGGACUGGACCUUUGCCCAGAGAGAGCUUCUGGAAAAACAAGGAAUUGAUAUGAAACAGGAGAUGGAAAAAAGGCUACAGGAAAUGGAGAUCUUAUACAAAAAGGAGAAGGAAGAAGCAGAUCUUCUCUUGGAGCAACAGAGACUGGACUAUGAGAGUAAAUUGCAGGCCUUGCAGAAGCAGGUGGAGACCCGAUCCCUGGCUGCAGAAACAACUGAAGAGGAAGAGGAGGAGGAAGAAGUUCCUUGGACACAGCAGGAAUUUGAGCUGGCCCAGUGGGCCUUCCGGAAAUGGAAGUCUCACCAGUUUACCUCAUUAAGGGACUUACUCUGGGGCAAUGCUGUUUACCUGAAGGAGGCCAACGCCAUCAGUGUGGAAUUAAAGAAGAAGGUACAGUUUCAGUUUGUUCUGCUGACUGACACAUUGUACUCCCCUUUGCCUCCUGAACUACUUCCCACUGAGAUGGAAAAAACUCAUGAAGACAGGCCUUUCCCUCGUACGGUGGUGGCAGUAGAAGUCCAGGAUCUGAAGAACGGAGCAACACAUUAUUGGUCUUUGGAGAAACUGAAGCAGAGGCUGGACUUGAUGCGAGAGAUGUAUGACAGGGCAGGUGAGAUGGCCUCCAGUGCCCAGGAUGAGAGUGAAGCCACCAUGACUGGCAGUGAUCCGUUUUAUGAUCGGUUCCAUUGGUUCAAACUUGUAGGAAGCUCCCCCAUUUUCCACGGCUGUGUGAAUGAGCGCCUUGCUGACCGCACACCCUCCCCCACUUUUUCCACGGCCGAUUCCGACAUCACUGAGCUGGCUGACGAGCAGCAAGAUGAGAUGGAGGAUUUUGAUGAUGAGGCGUUCGUGGAUGACACCGGCUCUGACGCAGGGACGGAGGAGGGAUCAGAUCUCUUCAGUGACGGGCAUGACCCGUUUUACGACCGAUCCCCAUGGUUCAUUUUAGUGGGAAGGGCAUUUGUUUACCUGAGCAACCUGCUGUACCCCGUGCCCCUGAUUCACAGGGUGGCCAUUGUCAGUGAGAAGGGUGAAGUGCGGGGAUUUCUGCGUGUGGCUGUACAGGCCAUUGCAGGGGAUGAAGAAGCUCCUGAUUAUGGCUCUGGAAUCCGACAGUCAGGAACAGCUAAAAUAUCUUUUGAUAAUGAGUGCUUUAAUCAGAGUGACUUUUCUUCGGUUGCAAUGACUCGUUCUGGUUUAUCCUUGGAAGAGCUGAGGAUUGUGGAAGGGCAGGGUCAGAGUUCUGAGGUCAUCACUCCUCCAGAAGAAAUCAAUCGAAUGAAUGACUUGGAUUUGAAGUCAAGUACUUUGUUGGAUGGUAAGAUGGUAAUGGAAGGAUUUUCUGAAGAGAUUGGCAACCACCUGAAACUGGGCAGUGCCUUCACUUUCCGUGUAACAGUGUUGCAGGCCAGUGGGAUCCUCCCAGAGUAUGCAGACAUCUUCUGUCAGUUCAACUUUUUGCAUCGCCAUGAUGAAGCGUUCUCCACUGAACCCCUCAAAAACAAUGGCAGAGGAAGUCCUCUGGGCUUUUAUCACGUGCAGAAUAUUGCAGUGGAGGUUACGGAAUCAUUUGUGGAAUAUAUCAAAACCAAGCCUAUCGUGUUUGAAGUCUUUGGACAUUAUCAGCAGCACCCACUUCACUUGCAAGGACAGGACCUUAGCAGCCCACCUCAGCCAUCUCGACGAUUCUUCCCGCCACCCAUGCCACUCUCCAAGCCAGACCAUGAGAGAAAGAUUGAACUGAUUCGAUUUCUCGUAUCUGACUAUGUGAAUGUGCAUGUGUUGGACACAUUUUCUGAGCAUGCCAGUGUGUUCGCAUCCUCCGCCAUUGCCACCUUCCAGGAUGGGGCUGACCCAUUGCCGCCUUUUCUCUUGCUGCCAAUUCCCAGCUGCCAGAGUGAGAGGGUACCUAAACGAGAUGUUCCAGCUACCAAGUUAAAUACCAUGAGCAAAACCAGCCUCGGCCAGAGCAUGAGCAAGUACGAUCUUCUGGUUUGGUUUGAAAUUAGUGAAUUGGAGCCUACAGGAGAGUACAUCCCAGCUGUGGUUGACCAUACAGCAGGCUUACCCUGCCAGGGGACAUUUUUGCUUCACCAGGGCAUCCAGAGAAGGAUCACAGUGACCAUUAUCCAUGAGAAGGGGAGUGAACUCCAUUGGAAGGAUGUUCGUGAGCUGGUGGUAGGCCGAAUCAGGAAUAAGGCUGAGGUGGAUGAAGCUGCAAUUGAUGCCAUCCUCUCCCUAAAUAUUAUCUCUGCCAAGUACCUGAAGUCGUCCCACAACUCUAGCAGGACCUUCUAUCGUUUUGAGGCUGUGUGGGAUAGCUCCCUCCACAACUCCCUCCUCCUGAACCGAGUGACGCCCUAUGGGGAGAAGAUCUACAUGACCUUGUCGGCCUACCUAGAGCUGGAUCAUUGCAUCCAGCCAGCUGUCAUCACCAAGGACGUGUGCAUGGUCUUCUAUUCCCGGGACGCCAAGAUCUCACCGCCACGCUCCCUGCGCAGCCUCUUCGGCAGCGGCUAUUCAAAGUCACCAGACUCUAAUCGAGUCACUGGAAUUUAUGAACUCAGCUUAUGCAAAAUGGCAGACACAGGCAGUCCAGGCAUGCAGAGGAGGAGAAGAAAGAUCCUGGACACCUCGGUGGCAUACGUGCGAGGGGAAGAGAACUUGGCGGGCUGGCGGCCCCGCGGAGACAGCCUCAUCCUCGAGCACCAGUGGGAGUUGGAGAAGCUGGAGCUCCUGCACGAGGUGGAGAAAACCCGCCACUUCCUUCUGCUCCGUGAGAGACUUGGUGACAGCAUCCCCAAAUCCCUGAGCGACUCGUUGUCCCCCAGUCUCAGCAGUGGGACCCUCAGCACUUCCACCAGCAUCUCCUCUCAGAUCUCAACCACCACCUUUGAAAGUGCCAUCACACCCAGUGAGAGCAGUGGCUACGAUUCAGCGGACAUUGAAAGCCUGGUGGAUCGAGAGAAAGAGCUGGCCACCAAGUGCCUGCAACUUCUCACCCACACUUUCAACCGAGAAUUCAGCCAGGUGCACGGCAGCAUCAGUGACUGUAAGUUGUCUGACAUCUCUCCGAUUGGACGGGAUCCCUCUGUGUCCAGUUUUAGCAGCGCUACCCUCACUCCCUCCUCCACCUGCCCCUCUCUGGUAGACGCUAGGAGCAACUCUUUGGAUCAGAAGACUCCUGAAGCCAAUUCCCGAGCCUCUAGUCCCUGCCCAGAAUUUGAACAGUUUCAGAUUGUCCCAACUGUGGAAACACCCUAUUUGGCCCGAGCAGGAAAAAAUGAAUUUCUCAAUCUUGUUCCAGAUAUUGAAGAAAUCAGGCCAGGCUCAGUGGUCUCUAAGAAAGGAUAUCUGCAUUUCAAGGAGCCACUCUCCAGCAACUGGGCUAAACAUUUUGUCGUGGUCCGUCGCCCUUAUGUCUUCAUCUAUAACAGUGACAAAGACCCAGUGGAGCGUGGCAUCAUUAACCUGUCCACAGCUCAGGUGGAAUACAGCGAGGACCAGCAGGCCAUGGUGAAGACGCUGAACACCUUUGCUGUAUGCACAAAGCACCGCGGGGUCCUUUUGCAGGCUCUCAAUGACAAAGACAUGAGUGACUGGUUAUAUGCCUUUAACCCGCUCCUUGCUGGCACAAUUCGGUCGAAACUCUCCCGCAGAUGCCCGAGCCAAGCCAAGUACUAAGUGACUCUGCCGAGCGCCCUCAUCACCUUCGAGAGAUAAAGGAAGUGUUACCUCUCAUUUCUCUUUGUGAUUUUUGACGGUGACUCUUGUGUGUGAUCCUGUGGCUUAACUCCUUGUCCCUCUUGUCCAGCACUCUUUCUAGCACUCCUGUUCCCCAUCCCCGUUGCUCUGUACUCUUUUCUUUUUCCUGUGCUGAGAAUCUCAUUAGGAGCAUGUGGCCUAACAAAAGGGGAAAACAAACAAAAACCAGAAACCCAGAGGGGAUCCAGUGAAUCUACAAAUUACUUUUUGGUGUGUUUUGGCUUGUUUUGUAUGAUAGGUCCCUACUGCGACCACUCUGAUGUCUGUACUGCUGUCUUUGGAGAUCUCUGUCUGUUUUUUAAGACAACAUAAUAUUUAUUUCUCUUUUCUAUUUGUGACAUAAUUUUAAUUUUUCUUGGGUAGCUUCGAGACUAAAGGAGGAGACAUCUGGUCUUUUUAGAACCUAAGAGGAAAAAGAGUUAACCUUUCCCCCUUCUGUCUCUUUUUGCCAUUGCUAAUCCCUGCAUUUUCCAUUCAGGGAAAAGGUUGUAGUGAGUUUAGAAAUGGGACAGGUUAUGUUCUCUGAAACUGGGACUUAUUUAGAACAUAGCCAUGUAAUUUUCAUUUAGUGGAAGAGAGGACUCUUUAGCAGGUGUGGGACAGUGGCUGCUGUUGACCCUGUAAGAAGGGAAGAGCCGAGGACACUGCCAGUGGAUUUCAGAGGACCGUGGACUUGGCAGUGGGCUGUGGAGGUGGGCGGCCAGUGGGACACUUGUCGUUGUCACAGCAGGGCUCCUCUGACUCCACCGGGAGGGAGCCUCUCCUCUCAGUUUCUCAGUCCUGUUCUUGGCAUGAGUAGUUAUGGCGGUACAGUUGGAAUUAGUGCCGCGAUGUCAUACACAAGGAGGGCGUGUUUCAGUUUCUGGUGAUGAAUUUGAUGGCCUCUGUCAUCAUCAUAAUUAUGAUAAUGCCAGGUAGUGACGUUAUGAUUGUCGUCACUCCGCUAAUCAAAGACAUGUAGCUCUUACGUUUGAACUUGGAAGUCUCCCUCGAAAUCCAGUGGUCAUGUUCAAUGACCCUUGUCAAAUUGAAAAUACUCUGAAUGAUGCUUGUCUCCCUGUAUUCAUAAAUAAGCAGACAUGAUGGGCAUUGCUUCCUGGGUCCCAGGAUUAUAACCGAUGUCCUCCCAUCACUAAAAAGAAAAGGACCCCUACCUGGGGGCCGAGAAGAGGGUCCACCUGAGCCCUGGCCCCAGGCCUAGCUGCUUGCAUCCUGCUCCUUGGUUGUCUCCGUCUGGAAAAAAGCCAGAGGAGAAGGGUGGCGGCUCACUGCUGACGGUCUCCUCCUCUGGCAGAGCAGGGUCUGCUCCCAGGGCCAUCUUGGAGGACGUCUUCCUCUUUCAGCUGCAAGGAGUUUAUGGGAGGGACGUGGGGAAGAUGGCCUCCCGUUACUUCCGUUGCUUCGCCAGUUGACUUGGGGUUAUUCUGUACUGUGUCCUUCACCUCCCUUGCCCACACCUCUGUCUGCCCGUCCCUCAGGCUUUCAGGAGAGUAUCUGCUUGCUCCCACUUGGGUGGGACCUGGGGUCCUCAGCCUCCAGGCUGCUGACUCUCGGGCAGCGAAGGGGAAGGGCCUGUGCACUGUACGGAAUGGUGGCUGGGCAGGCUCGUAAUCACCCAGCCCCUUGCUUCUGACUUCCUGGCUGGGCUCGCUCCCAGCUUCGUUCAUCAUAACUGCCUUGCAAAGAGGAGGAAAAGUGAGUCACAAAGAGCUUAACAAAAGAAAGGAUAGAAAUCAAAGGCUGUGACCUUGCCUAAAAAAUGAUCAAUUAUCAAUUAAAACUCUAUAGUAGAUUUUUUUUUUAACUUUCUUCCUCUCCUUAAAACAUAGGUCACUAACUAUAAUGUUAUUUGUUUCCUAAGUGGUAUAUGAGACUUUUAAUGUAGUUAGAGGUUUCUUGUCUGAUGGACACAAUGUGCCCUUCGGGUGUAUACUCAAAUCCAGGGUCUGUCAGUGCUUAGAGACGGCUUCCUGGGCUGACAUUAAAUCUAAUUUCAGGGACAUGAAGAUGAGAUUUGAAGGUUACUUUCAGAAUUAAAUCAUGGAUGCUGCUGCUGUUACAAAGUCUGAUCGGAGGAUCCAUGUCUGUGGCACCAGGAGGUGGGGACAGUGGUGGUGGUGGGAGAGUAAAACCUGUGAUACGCUGAGAUGACUUCUGUUUUUCCUUCUAACUCAAACAAAACUGGCUUGGAAAGUCUUUGCUUUGGAGAAGGUGUCAGAUACUAGCACAGGCCCAGCUGGACUGUUUGUAACAUCCCCAGGUGAGAAGGCCUUGUGAGGAAGCAGGGGUCCCGGCAGGUGGGCUUCCCACCACCUCGGGGCCUCAGCUGUGGCUGCAGGUACAGACAGCCUCUGUAGGUACCGCUUUCUCUGGGUGCCCAUUUUCAGAUUGGAGCUGGAACAGUUUCAGGAUUGAUGUUCCCUUUGUAGACAGGGCCGUCUCCACUUUGAAGCUCUGAGAAUCUAUGUUAGGAACUAUUUAUGAGGCUUUAGCUGAAUGCAUAAUGGCAGGAAAGUUGAAAGAACUUGAACCUUUAAGGAAACCACCUUUUGAGGUUUGUUUUGUUUUGUUUUAACCUAAAGCACUCAUUUAAACAAGCCAUAAAGGGCAAGAAAGAACACUCUUACGCCAAUUAAGGAGAAAUGAGUGCCACAUAAAGGUAACAGUCCCCUCCCCUCCUCCCCCAUCAUUCUGUCUCCUGCCAAAGCAAAACGUGGCCUCACAGCUGCCACCAAACCAGUGCUGACACCUUCCUUGUCGCUGCGCCGCCCUGGGGGUCAGUCAGCUCUCAGGCCAGGCUGUGCAGGGCCAGCCAGCUCGUGCACAAGCCAGGCGCACGGCCAAGGCUGCUGCUGGCGGCCGGGUGGACGCCUGAAUCCCGAUGUGUAUUUAUAACAUGGCGAAGGCGAGGGAACUAUUUUUCCCAACUGAAAAACCACUGCUUUUUUUCCCCUUCAGCUACAUAGAACUCACAUGACUACUCAUAUUUUUGAUGGGAUUUUUCAGCUCUUUUACACUGGAGGAAUAAAUUGAAUCAUUGUGAAAGGUCUUUUGGUAUCUAAAAAUAAAAUGACUUCUCCUGGCACAUAUAUCAAAGCAAAGACUUUGUUGCCUGCUGCUUGCUAUCUGAUUUACAGGGAUAUUUAAUUUUGUAGGUAUUUGUAUAUUUAUACCGCUGUAAUUAAUUGCACAUUGAACUGGAAAAGCAAGGAUGACCUGGCGUGAGGCACCUAUCGGUACUUGGCAUCCCCUUGUCUGGGCUCCACUCGGGUUCUCCAGGACAGUAUCAGGGCUUGUUCGUUUCUUGUUUGACUUGGGUCCUUCAUUUUUCCUUUUGGUUCCCUUUUUAAAAUGUGAUUGUUAACCUGCUCUUUAAAAAGAAGAGACUAAUUUUGCUGCUGCUCUCAGAAGGUUUGCUGAAUGUAUUUGAAGUAGGGCUCUAACUCGUGUGCAUUGCAGCUGUCCACCGGCCAGUGAGGAUCCACCCAGGUGUGCGGCCAGACCCUGACUGUGCGUAGCAGGAAUGUAUGAUCUGUGCUUCCUUAGUAAACGGAAAUAUCAGCUGAGAGAUUAUCUGCUGCUGUUGUUCAAAAGGCCAUUUAUGAAACUGGUAUUUGAGCCCCAUAAAAUCUUAGGAAAGCCUCUAACCAUUCAAAGGAAGAAAUUAGAGUUGAUACAAAUUUCAUGUUAAAAACUCACAGCCACAUGGCUUGUGCUCAGAUGGAAAGUCCGAGCUGAGGUUGGUCUCUUGCCAAACCCUGGCUGUCACGUGUCGUUUUCAUGUCUUCGAGUUAAUUUUUUUCAUGCUGCGUAUUCUGGCACCAGUUCACCUGAGGAAUCCAUCAGCCUUCUCACAAACUGUCUUAGACUCUGUGGCUCUAAAGAAAUUGUCUGUUGAGAUUUCAGGUCUCUUGUCACCAUCCUCGUGCACUACAGCAAAACCCGUGAAGCAUAAGUGGCCUUUUUGAACCAAGACUUUGCAAACUGAUCUCUCCCCAGUGAAGGAGUUGAGCACAUUAGCAACAAUGUACAUUAUUAAUUUCAGAUUUUCAUUUUCAUGUUUUAUUAUGUAAAUAUUAUCUGAUGUUUGGAGCUUGAGUAUACAGAAUGUAAAUAUAGUUCUUGUAUUUGUACUAAUUCUGGUUCUUUGCUGUAUAGCUUAGGUGUGCAAUGCAGACAUCAUCUAACUGUGUAUGGUAACCUGCAUCACGGAACUGUUAGUGAACGAGGAAGGAGAUAGUCCAGCUUAUGUGUCUGCUGACGGGGACGAGUGACCUCAAAGGGAGAACCUGAUGAUGGGGCGAGACCAGAACGGAGACUUGGCCGGAGUGAUUCCCUCCAGGUGGCUGGUGGGCUUGGAGCCUGCCAACAAGCCAUUUGACUUCAGUUGCAAGAAUUAUACAGCAAGUGAGUGGCAGAGCUGGGAUUUUCAAAUCUGCCCCAGCUAGUACGUUACUUCCACACUCCCUAUGUAAGUCAAACAAAGGAUUCAGCCUUGGAAGGUUUGCACAGAAGGGCUGUUUUUGUAGAAUUCCUGCCCAAGCUUUGAUUUGGGAUUUGGGGAAUUAGGGCAAGGCAAAAAGUUAUAAUAAAGG